AAUGAACGCUGGCGGCGUGCCUAAUACAUGCAAGUCGAGCGAAAAGACGAGGAGCUUGCUCCUCUGACGUUAGCGGCGGACGGGUGAGUAACACGUGGAUAACCUACCUAUAUGACUGGGAUAACUUCGGGAAACCGGAGAUAAUACCGGAUAAUAUAUUGAACCGCAUGGAUCAAUAGUGAUAGAAGGUUUUGCUGUCACUUAUAGAUGGAUCCGCGCCGCAUUAGCUAGUUGGUAAGGUAACGGCGUACCAAGGCAACGAUGCGUAGCCGACCUGAGAGGGUGAUCAGCCACACUGGAACUGAGACACGGUCCAGACUCCUACGGGAGGCAGCAGUAGGGAAUCUUCCGCAAUGGGCGAAAGCCUGACGGAGCAACGCCGCGUGAGUGAUGAAGGUCUUCGGAUCGUAAAACUCUGUUAUUAGGGAAGAACAAAUGUGUAAGUAACUAUGCACGUCUUGACGGUACCUAAUCAGAAAGCCACGGCUAACUACGUG
rnacentral:rRNA from 1 species